UUGCUCCCCGUCCAGAAUAGAUCCCAUUAAUGUUUGCUGCCAAUCUGGACAGAUGGACGGAUUUGUUUUUGUUCAUCUCUGAGGAAAUAAUGCACGGAUCUUCAUGAAGACAAAUCAGGGUGAUGACUGGCAUAUUUAAUAUGAGGACGAGGGCAGCUGCAAUAAAGCAGGUGAUCCUGGCAGUGGCUGACGAAGAAGCUGACAGGGUCCUCUGGUGGAAGCUUUGAUAUCCCAGGAACUUUGGAGGGCCUGGAGGAGAAUAUCGGACUUGGAUUUGAAUUUUUGCUGAGGUGAAGAGACCAAAGUGGACAUUGACGGAGGAGGUGGAGAAAAGAAAAAAAGAGAGGGACCAAGCAGGAGGAUGAACUAGAGUACAUCUCAGACUGGGUGGCGGGAGCGUUUGGGAACUACAAGGCUGCAAGACUGCAAGAUGCCGAACUUGACUUGUUGCUGUUGAAUGGGGGCCUGGUAGGUGAAGUUGAAAGCGGUCUUGGUGAUGUCAGCUGAAUGGGGGUUCGUCAGGAUGAAGGGGACACAUAACCACUGCAGAAAAGACAAAGAAGGUUUCAGUGGCUAAGGGCAAGGAAUAAUUAACAACUGUCACUUCUCUCAGAGAAAACCAGACCCUGGUUCCUGUACCCGUGACUUUGACUCAGAAAUGUCCCCAAUGUUUUGACACUUCAUUCCUUGAGGAGACCACUUAAUUCAAGUAUCAGGUUUCCAGAGCAUUUUAUUAUAGUUUCAUGUAGAAUGCGCUGUUCUCUCAUGACUGUUCAGUCUAGACCGUAAAUACAAAGUUCACUUGCACUUACUAUACUGGUUUUGAGCACCUGCACAUGUAUGAAUUCUCUCACAUACAUACCUAUAUAUUUGCACUUGCACACACAAGUAUUCUCAGUAGUGUUUAUGCAUGUAUGUGUAAGUUCAGCAUGUAUGUAUGUUAGUAUGAAUAUUUUUCUUUUAAAGUAAAUCUCAAAGCUGA